GACAGAGGAUGCAAGCGUUAUCCGGAAUGAUUGGGCGUAAAGCGUCUGUAGGUGGCUUUUUAAGUCCGCCGUCAAAUCCCAGGGCUCAACCCUGGACAGGCGGUGGAAACUACCAAGCUGGAGUACGGUAGGGGCAGAGGGAAUUUCCAGUGGAGCGGUGAAAUGUGUAGAUAUUGGAAAGACCACCGAUGGCGAAGGCACUCUACUGGGCCAUGGCUGACACUGAGAGACGAAAGCUAGGGAAGCAAAAUGGG
rnacentral:rRNA from 1 species